rnacentral:rRNA from 1 species
CCUACGGGUGGCAGCAGUGAGGAAUAUUGGUCAAUGGGCGGGAGCCUGAACCAGCCAAGUCGCGUGAGGGAAGACGGUCCUAUGGAGUGUAAACCUCUUUAGGCGGGGAGCAAGGCCGGGCACGCGUGCCCGGAGGGAGAGGACCCGCAGAAGAAGCAGCGGCUAACUCCGUGCCAGCAGCCGCGGUAAUACGGAGGAUGCGAGCGUUAUCCGGAUUUAUUGGGUUGAAAGGGUGCGUAGGCGGAUUUUUAAGUCAGCGGUAAACUGUCCGGGCUCAACCCGGGCCGGCCGUUGAAACUGGGGAUCUUGAGUGGGCGAUCAGUAUGCGGACUGCGUGGUGUAGCGGUGCAAUGCAUAGAUAUCACGCAGAACUCCGAUUGCGACGGCAGCAUACCGGCGCCCGCCUGCCGCUGAGGCACGACAGCGUGGGGCUCGAACAGGAUUAGCUACCCCAGUAGUC